rnacentral:tRNA from 1 species
GUCUAUGUAAUUUAUUUAAAAUAUCGGUCUUGUAAAUCGAAAUAAGAUUAUUAUCUCCUAGAUU